UGGGGAAUAUUGCGCAAUGGGCGAAAGCCUGACGCAGCGACGCCGCGUGAGGGAUGAAGGCCUUCGGGUUGUAAACCUCUUUCAGCAGGGAAGAAGCGAAAGUGACGGUACCUGCAGAAGAAGCACCGGCUAACUACGUGCCAGCAGCCGCGGUAAUACGUAGGGUGCAAGCGUUGUCCGGAAUUAUUGGGCGUAAAGAGCUCGUAGGCGGUUUGUCGCGUCUGCUGUGAAAUCCCAGGGCUUAACCCUGGGCCUGCAGUGGGUACGGGCAAACUAGAGUGCGGUAGGGGAGAUCGGAAUUCCUGGUGUAGCGGUGAAAUGCGCAGAUAUCAGGAGGAACACCGGUGGCGAAGGCGGAUCUCUGGGCCGUAACUGACGCUGAGGAGCGAAAGCAUGGGUAGCGAACA
rnacentral:rRNA from 1 species